rnacentral:rRNA from 1 species
AUUGAACGCUGGCGGCAGGCCUAACACAUGCAAGUCGAGCGGAUGACGGGAGCUUGCUCCUUGAUUCAGCGGCGGACGGGUGAGUAAUGCCUAGGAAUCUGCCUGGUAGUGGGGGACAACGUUUCGAAAGGAACGCUAAUACCGCAUACGUCCUACGGGAGAAAGCAGGGGACCUUCGGGACUUGCGCUAUCAGAGGAGCCUAGGUCGGAUUAGCUAGUUGGUGGGUAAUGGCUCACCAAGGCGACGAUCCGUAACUGGUCUGAGAAGAUGAUCAGUCACACUGGAACUGAGACACGGUCCAGACUCCUACGGGAGGCAGCAGUGGGGAAUAUUGGACAAUGGGCGAAAGCCUGAUCCAGCCAUGCCGCGUGUGUGAAGAAGGUCUUCGGAUUGUAAAGCACUUUAAGUUGGGAGGAAGGGCAGUAAGCUAAUACCUUGCUGUUUUGACGUUACCGACAGAAUAAGCACCGGCUAACUCUGUGCCAGCCGCCGCUGUAAUAC